GCUGGGUGUGGUGGUGCACACCUGUAAUCCCAGCUACACAGGAAGCUGAGGCAUGAGAAUCAUUUGAACCUGGGAGGUGGAGGUUGCAGUGAGCCAAGAUUGUGCCACUGCACUCCAGCCUGGGCAACAGAGUGAGACCCUGUCUCAA
rnacentral:SRP_RNA from 1 species